CAGAGUUCAUGCCCUUCGGGGUAGAUCUCCACCCUGUGUAUUUAUACCUUUGUUGCUUUGGUAGGCCGCUGGGCUUCGGCCUGGCCACCGGCUGUAGCUGGUGUGUGCCUGCCAGAGGUUCUCAAACUCUGAAUAUUAGUGUCGUCUGAGUACUAUAUAAUAGUUA
rnacentral:misc_RNA from 1 species